UGCCGGGUAGCUCAACAGUAGAGCGGCCGCCUGUUAAGCGGCGAGAUGUAGGUGCGAAUCCCACCCCGGCAG
rnacentral:tRNA from 1 species